rnacentral:rRNA from 1 species
GACGGAGGGGGCUAGCGUUGUUCGGAAUGACUGGGCGUAAAGGGCGCGUAGGCGGUCGAUCAAGUCAGGCGUGAAAGCCUCGGGCUUAACCCGAGAACUGCGCUUGAUACUGGUUGACUUGAGGACGAGAGAGGAAAGUGGAAUUCCGAGUGUAGAGGUGAAAUUCGUAGAUAUUCGGAGGAACAUCAGAGGCGAAGGCGGCUUUCUGGCUCGUAACUGACGCUGAGGCGCGAAAGCGUGGGGAGCAAACAGG